CUUUCCCCUUACUUAUAUCCCCCUGGUCAAUGGCUGCCAGCAUGUUCAAAUACUCCAAAUCAGAGACAUAUUAUACAAAUUUUAUAUGUCUCUGGUUCAAUCAAUGAAUAAUUAUUUCAUUUAGUAUGAUCAAUAAAACAAUCAUUCAUAUUUUUGUGAAUGUAUAAGUCUUGAAUUUGAUCUAUUUUUAGCUCACCUGGCCCAAAGGGCCAAGUGAGCUUUUCUCAGCACUUGGCGUCCGGCGUCCGUCGUCCGUCGUCUGUCGUCCGUCGUCUGUCGUCCGUCGUCUGUCGUCCGCCGUCUGGCGUCGUUAACUUUUACAAAAAUCUUCUCCUCUGAAACUACUGGGCCAAAUUUAACCAAACUUGGCCACAAUCAUCAUUGGGGUAUCUAGUUUAAAAAAUGUGUCUGGUGACCCGGUCAACCAACCAAGAUGGCCGCCACGGCUAAAAAUAGAACAUAGGGGUAAAAUGCAGUUUUUGGCUUAUAACUCAAAAACCAAAGCAUUUAGAGCAAAUCUGACAUGGGGUAAAAUUGUUCAUCAGGUCAAGAUCUAUCUGCCCUGAAAUUUUCAGAUGAAUCGGACAACCCGUUGUUGGGUUGCUGCCCCUGAAUUGGUAAUUUUAAGGAAAUUUUACUGUUUUUAUACGACCGCAAAAUUUGAAAAAUUUUUCGUCGUAUAUUGCUAUCACGUUGGCGUCGGCGUCGUCGUCGUCGUCGUCCGGCGUCCGAAUACUUUUAGUUUUCGCACUCUAACUUUAGUAAAAGUGUAUGGAAAUCUAUGAAAUUUUAACACAAGGUUUAUGACCACAAAAGGAAGGUUGGUAUUGAUUUUGGGAGUUUUGGUCCCAACAUUUUAGGAAUUAGGGGCCAAAAAGGGCCCAAAUAAGCAUUUUCUUGGUUUUCGCACUAUAACUUUAGUUUAAGUUAAUAGAAAUCUAUGAAAUUUUGACACAAGGUUUAUGACCACAAAAGGAAGGUUGGGAUUGAUUUUGGGAGUUUAGGUUUCAACAGUUUAGGAAUUAGGGGCCAAAAAAGGGCCCAAAUAAGCAUUAUUCUUGGUUUUCGCACAAUAACUUUAGUUUAAGUAAAUAGAAAUCAAUGAAAUUUAAACACAAUGUUAAUGACUACAAAAGGAAGGUUGGUAUUGAUUUUGGGAGUUUAGGUCCCAACAGUUUAGGAAUAAGGGGCCAAAAAGGGACCCAAAUAAGCAUUUUUCUUGGUUUUCGCACCAUAACGUUAGUAUAAGUAAAUAGAAAUCUAUGAAAUUUAAACACAAGGUUUAU
rnacentral:lncRNA from 1 species